GUGGUUUGUCGCGUUGUUCGUGAAAUCUCACGGCUUAACUGUGAGCGUGCGGGCGAUACGGGCAGACUUGAGUACUGCAGGGGAGACUGGAAUUCCUGGUGUAGCGGUGGAAUGCGCAGAUAUCAGGAGGAACACCGGUGGCGAAGGCGGGUCUCUGGGCAGUAACUGACGCUGAGGAGCGAAAGCGUGGGGAGCGAACAGGAUUAGAUACCCUGGUAGUCCACGCCGUAAACGGUGGGUACUAGGUGUGGGUUUCCUUCCUUGGGAUCCGUGCCGUAGCUAACGCAUUAAGUACCCCGCCUGGGGAGUACGGCCGCAAGGCUAAAACUCAAAGAAAUUGACGGGGGCCCGCACAAGCGGCGGAGCAUGUGGAUUAAUUCGAUGCAACGCGAAGAACCUUACCUGGGUUUGACAUGCACAGGACGCCGGCAGAGAUGUCGGUUCCCUUGUGGCCUGUGUGCAGGUGGUGCAUGGCUGUCGUCAGCUCGUGUCGUGAGAUGUUGGGUUAAGUCCCGCAACGAGCGCAACCCUUGUCUCAUGUUGCCAGCGGGUAAUGCCGGGGACUCGUGAGAGACUGCCGGGGUCAACUCGGAGGAAGGUGGGGAUGACGUCAAGUCAUCAUGCCCCUUAUGUCCAGGGCUUCACACAUGCUACAAUGGCCGGUACAAAGGGCUGCGAUGCCGCGAGGUUAAGCGAAUCCUUUUAAAGCCGGUCUCAGUUCGGAUCGGGGUCUGCAACUCGACCCCGUGAAGUCGGAGUCGCUAGUAAU
rnacentral:rRNA from 1 species